rnacentral:rRNA from 1 species
GCCGUACCCGUGAGGGGCGGUGGAGGUAUCAGAAGUGCGAAUGCUGACAUGAGUAACGUAAGGGGAGUGAGAGACUCCCUCGCCGAAAGACCAAGGGUUCCUGCUUAAAGUUAAUCUGAGCAGGGUUAGCCGGCCCCUAAGACGAGGCGGACACGCGUAGUCGAUGGGAACCACGUUAAUAUUCGUGGGCCUGGUGGUAGUGACGGAUCUCGUGUGUUGUUCAACCUUAUUGGAUUGGUUGGGCGGCGAAGAGGUUCCAGGAAAUAGCUCCACCGUAUAGACCGUACCC